rnacentral:rRNA from 1 species
UACGUAGGGGGCUAGCGUUGUCCGGAAUCACUGGGCGUAAAGCGCGUGUAGGCGGUCUGCUAAGUCUGAUGUGAAAGCCCGGGGCUCACCCCCGGAAGUGCAUUGGAAACUGGCAGACUGGAGUCCCGGAGAGGAGGGUGGAAUUCCUGGUGUAGCGGUGAAAUGCGUAGAUAUCAGGAGGAACACCGGUGGCGAAGGCGGCUUUCUGGACACUAACUGACGCUGAGACGCGAAAGCGUGGGGAGCAAACAGG